UACGUAGGGUGCGAGCGUUAAUCGGAAUUACUGGGCGUAAAGCGUGCGCAGGCGGUCUGUUAAGACCGAUGUGAAAUCCCCGGGCUUAACCUGGGAACUGCAUUUGUGACUGCAUGGCUAGAGUGCGGCAGAGGGGGAUGGAAUUCCGCGUGUAGCAGUGAAAUGCGUAGAUAUGCGGAGGGACACCGAUGGCGAAGGCAAUCCCCUGGGCCUGCACUGACGCUCAUGCACGAAAGCGUGGGGAGCAAACAGG
rnacentral:rRNA from 1 species